rnacentral:rRNA from 1 species
GACGAACGCUGGCGGUGUGCUUAACACAUGCAAGUCGAACGGUAAGGCCCUUUCGGGGGUACACGAGUGGCGAACGGGUGAGUAACACGUGAGUAACCUGCCCUCAUCUCUGGGAUAACAGUCGGAAACGGUUGCUAAUACUGGAUAUGAGCUUGCAAGGCAUCUUGUGGGUUGGAAAGAUUUUUUUUGGUUGGGGAUGGACUCGCGGCCUAUCAGCUUGUUGGUGAGGUAGUGGCUCACCAAGGCUUCGACGGGUAGCCGGCCUGAGAGGGCGACCGGCCACAGUGGGACUGAGAUACGGCCCAAACUCCUACGGGAGGCAGCAGUGGGGAAUAUUGCACAAUGGACGGAAGUCUGAUGCAGCAACGCCGCGUGCGGGAUGACGGCCUUCGGGUUGUAAACCGCUUUCAAUUGUGAAGAAGCUUUUUUGUGACGGUAGCAGUAGAAGAAGCACCGGCUAACUACGUG